GAUGAACGCUGGCGGCGUGCCUAAUACAUGCAAGUCGAGCGAACGGACGAGAAGCUUGCUUCUCUGAUGUUAGCGGCGGACGGGUGAGUAACACGUGGAUAACCUACCUAUAAGACUGGGAUAACUUCGGGAAACCGGAGCUAAUACCGGAUAAUAUUUUGAACCGCAUGGUUCAAAAGUGAAAGACGGUCUUGCUGUCACUUAUAGAUGGAUCCGCGCUGCAUUAGCUAGUUGGUAAGGUAACGGCUCACCAAGGCAACGAUGCAUAGCCGACCUGAGAGCGUGAUCGGCCACACUGGAACUGAGACACGGUCCAGACUCCUACGGGAGGCAGCAGUAGGGAAUCUUCCGCAAUGGGCGAAAGCCUGACGGAGCAACGCCGCGUGAGUGAUGAAGGUCUUCGGAUCGUAAAACUCUGUUAUUAGGGAAGAACAUAUGUGUAAGUAACUGUGCACAUCUUGACGGUACCUAAUCAGAAAGCCACGGCUAACUACGUG
rnacentral:rRNA from 1 species